AACGAGGCCGACCUGCGGCUGAGUUACCUGCGGAGGGAUCAUUAUAGAGAACCUGCCCUUUGGGUAGAUCUCCCACCCUAUGUUUACAAUACCUUUGUUGCUUUGGCAGGCCCGUCUUUCUGACCACUGGCUUCGGCUGGUCAGUGCUUGCCAGAGGACCCUAAACUCUUGAUUUUAGCAUUGUCUGAGUAUUGUAUCAAUAGUUAAAACUUUCAGCAACGGAUCUCAGAUCGGAAGAGC
rnacentral:misc_RNA from 1 species